UCGGGAAUAUUGCGCAAUGGAGGAAACUCUGACGCAGUGACGCCGCGUAUAGGAAGAAGGUUUUCGGAUUGUAAACUAUUGUCGUUAGGGAAGAAAAAAGACAGUACCUAAGGAGGAAGCUCCGGCUAACUACGUGCCAGCAGCCGCGGUAAUACGUAGGGAGCAAGCGUUAUCCGGAUUUAUUGGGUGUAAAGGGUGCGCAGACGGGCGAUCAAGUUAGUUGUGAAAUCCCUCGGCUCAACUGAGGAACUGCAACUAAAACUGGUUGUCUUGAGUGCAGGAGAGGUAAGUGGAAUUCCUAGUGUAGCGGUGAAAUGCGUAGAUAUUAGGAGGAACACCAGUGGCGAAGGCGACUUACUGGACUGUAACUGACGUUGAGGCACGAAAGUGUGGGGAGCAAACAGGAUUAGAUACC
rnacentral:rRNA from 1 species